rnacentral:rRNA from 1 species
GGAAGGGGGGGGGGGGUCAAAUCAUCAUGCCCCUUAUGACCUGGGCUACACACGUGCGACAAUGGAUGGUACAAAGGGCAGCGAAGCCGCGAGGUGUACCAAAUCCCAUAAAACCAUUCUCAGUUCGGAUUGCAGGCUGCAACUCGCCUGCAUGAAGCCGGAAUCGCUAGUAAUCGCGGAUCAGCAUGCCGCGGUGAAUACGUUCCCGGGCCUUGUACACACCGCCCGUCACACCACGAGAGUUGGCAACACCCGAAGUCGGAGAGGUAACCUUUUUGGACCCAGCCGCCGAAGGGGGGGCCAAUGAUGGGGGUGAAGUCGAUC